rnacentral:rRNA from 1 species
UACGGGGGGGGCAAGCGUUGUUCGGAAUUACUGGGCGUAAAGGGCUCGUAGGUGGCCAACUAAGUCAGACGUGAAAUCCCCCAGCUUAACUGGGGAACUGCGUCUGAUACUGGAUGGCUUGAGUUUGGGAGAGGGAUGCGGAAUUCCAGGUGUAGCGGUGAAAUGCGUAGAUAUCUGGAGGAACACCGGUGGCGAAGGCGGCAUCCUGGACCAACACUGACACUGAGGAGCGAAAGCCAGGGGAGCAAACGGG